rnacentral:pre_miRNA from 1 species
UAUUUCGAGUUGCAGCCAUUCUCACACACCUCACUAUCACAGACGCGAUCGUCUAGAUGUUAGUAGGCGUUGUGGGAAGGGCGGCGAUGGCGAAAAG